rnacentral:rRNA from 1 species
UACGUAGGGUGCGAGCGUUAAUCGGAAUUACUGGGCGUAAAGCGCGCGUAGGUGGUUGUGUAAGUCGAGUGUGAAAGCCCCGGGCUCAACCUGGGAACUGCAUUCGAGACUGCAUUACUAGAGUAUGGGAGAGGGCAGUGGAAUUUCAGGUGUAGCGGUGAAAUGCGUAGAUAUCUGAAGGAACAUCAGUGGCGAAAGCGACUGCCUGGCCCAAUACUGACGCUCAUGUGCGAAAGCGUGGGGAGCAAACAGG